rnacentral:miRNA from 1 species
GCUGACACAUCCCUGCCAAUCUCCGGCAGACCCUCCCUCCCAGACCCUCCCACCUCCUGGACAGCAUCCAUGUUGAAGCUGCCUUCAACAUGGAUGCUGUCCAGGAAGUAGGAGGGUCUGGGAGGGAGGGUCUGCCGGAGAUUGGCAGGCAUGUGUCAG